rnacentral:rRNA from 1 species
UACGUAGGCAGCAAGCGUUGUUCGGAAUUACUGGGCGUAAAGGGCGUGUAGGCGGCCCGUUAAGACAGGUGUGAAAUUCCUGGGCUCAACCCAGGACGUGCGCCUGUGACUGGCGGGCUUGAGUCCGGGAGAGGAUGGUGGAACUCCCAGUGUAGAGGUGAAAUUCGUAGAUAUUGGGAAGAACACCCGUGGCGAAGGCGGCCAUCUGGACCGGUACUGACGCUAAGGCGCGACAGCGUGGGGAGCAAACAGG